UUGAAACACUGUUUCCCAUAUGACCACUGAAGUUAAGCAACGUCGAGCCUGGCCAGUACCUAGAUGGGUGGCUGCUUGCAAAUGUAAGGUGUUGUAAG